rnacentral:rRNA from 1 species
AACUACGAAUACCGAAGAAUGUUAUCACGGGAGACACACGGCGGGUGCUAACGUCCGUCGUGAAGAGGGAAACAACCCAGACCGCCAGCUAAGGUCCCAAAGUCAUGGUUUAGUGGGAAACGAUGUGGGAAGGCACAGACAGCCAGGAUGUUGGCUUAGAAGCAGCCAUCAUUUAAAGAAAGCGUAAUAGCUCACUGGUCGAGUCGGCCUGCGCGGAAGAUGUAACGGGGCUAAACCAUGCACCGAAGCUGCGGCAGCGACACUAUGUGUUGUUGGGUAGGGGAGCGUUCUGUAAGCCUGCGAAGGUGACCUGUGAGGGUUGCUGGAGGUAUCAGA